rnacentral:rRNA from 1 species
UACAGAGGGUGCGAGCGUUAAUCGGAAUUACUGGGCGUAAAGCGCGCGUAGGCGGUUCGUUAAGUCAAAUGUGAAAUCCCCGAGCUUAACUUGGGAAUUGCAUUCGAUACUGGCGAGCUAGAGUAUGGGAGAGGAAGGUAGAAUUCCAGGUGUAGCGGUGAAAUGCGUAGAGAUCUGGAGGAAUACCGAUGGCGAAGGCAGCCUUCUGGCCUAAUACUGACGCUGAGGUGCGAAAGCAUGUGGAGCAAACAGG